CUGGGUCGGCGACGUGGUCGAAGAGGUUCUCGACGGGUCCCUUGCCCGUGACGAUGGCCUGCACGAAGAAUCCAAACAUGGAGAACAUGGCGAGGCGGCCGUUCUUGAGCUCCUUGACCUUGAGCUCAGCGGCGGUGUCUGGGUCGUCGGCGAGACCGAGGGGGUCAAAGGCGCCACCGGGGUAGAUCUUGUCGAGCCCCUCACCGAGAGGGCCUCCACCAACACGGUAACCCUCGAUGAAGCCCAUGAGCACAACUUGGCAUGCCCAAAUGGCGAGGAUGCUCUGCGCGUGCACGAGGUUAGGGUUGCCCAGGUAGUCCAG
rnacentral:lncRNA from 1 species